CUUGAAGGAAUUGGAGGAUAAUCUUGUUGAAAGAGAGGUGAGACAGGUGUUGAAAACUGUUAAGAAGGAUGUGUUAAAGGGGUGUAAAAUUGUUUUCAGCCACAAAUUUCCUUCGAAUGUCGAUGCUGAGAAUCAACCUCUCUGGAAGAUGGCAGAGCAGUUGGGAGCCUCUUGUUCGACACAAGUGGACCCAUCGGUGACACAUGUGGUUUCAGGAGAUGCUGGCACGGAGAAGUCUAAAUGGGCGGUCAAAGAAAAGAAGUUUUUAGUUAAUAAACAGUGGAUUGAAGCUGCAAACUAUAUGUGGCAAAAGCAAGCUGAAGAGAAGUUCCCAGUCAAGCAAAUGAAAGCCACAUGAUCUGUUCUUGCAGCAGCACUAACUUCAUCCGUUUUGUGCAUAGUUUGAGAUACUAAUCACUCCUCUCGUUUCGUUCAGUGUUGUUCUUACACCACUGGUCUCGUAUUUGAGGUGGAACUUAAUUUUGAAUCGUUCAUUACUUUUAAACAAAAGACGAUUGCUGACUAGGUGAAGGAAAAUUUGAUAGCGGAUUGAAUUUUUGAUGUUUGUCUCGGAAGUAGGAUACCGAACUUGUAUGUAGGAUAUGGUUGCAGAUUUAUGACAAAGGAGAAGAUGUUCUGAAUGCAUCAAGUGUCAAAUUUGCUU